rnacentral:tRNA from 3 species
GGGCCCGUAGCUCAGCCCGGCAGAGCGCUCGGCUCAUAACCGAGUGGUCGUGGGUUCAAAUCCCACCGGGCCCA